AUAUUUUCUAAGUCCAUCUAGAAAUGCCUUCGUGCAGUUGAAAUUCGAACACAAUUCCUUCACAAAACCACUGUGCGGAUGUUAUUACGCCGAUUUAUAAUCGCUUGUUGGCAUGCUCCGUUGACAAUUUUGUAUAUAUUUCAUUUACAAUUUUUUACCUUUUGCCAUGUUUUAUUUACAAUUUUGUACCAAUUACUAUGUGCCAUUACAAUUUAGUAUGCUUUUGUUUACUAUGCACCGUUUACUGUGUACUGUAAACCUUGCACCAUUGUACAAUGUACAGAUUUAUUAUGUACAAUCUAUCAUGAAAUGUUUUUCAUAUACCAUUUGCCUUUGUACCAUUUCACGAUAAACUAUUUAUCAUUUACUUUACAAAUAUUUAACCCAUAUAAUUUAUGUGCAGGAGUAGCGGCCAUUAACUGUCAUCUUUUCGAUCCAAAUGCCUAAAGGGAUGGUACACUUGAGAGAGAAAAUUGGAUACGAACUUUCAUAGGCCCGUUACAUUUAGCAGUUAAUUACAAAGACCACUUGCUCAAAUCCUCGCUUAUGGCUGGAAAGAUAAUUUGAUGUCGUUGAUGCGAAAAAUCUGGAAGUUUAAAGAUGUGCUAUAAAAUCUCAAACCGCCUCUUGGUCAAAUUUGAUCAACAUCUUUACUGUUUUGCAGACAAAGACUACGAGCUCAUAACGGUGGUUGAUAGCUUAUAGUCUUUUUUACUUCAGUACAAAUCAAGAAAGGCGGGAACGUCUCUUUAAGUUUGUUCCCAGCUGAUGAAAUCCGCGAUCUUACGAUGAAUACGGUUGAGUAAGCACCACAAUUUAAUUCCUUUACUUAACAUAAUCCGAUAGACACAAUUCCCGGUCAGUGUCGGUUUAAUACUGUGGGUAAACUUCUGGGAGAAGUAAAAUCCCAAUCUAAGCUCACCGCUCAGGCAAUUUUCAUAUGCUCAAUUGGUCUUCCAAUUGAAAUACUGGCUUAAUUUACGAAGCGCCAAGGAUCACUCCAAUCUAGUUUCGUCCCCUAAUAAGAGUUCUUCCUGGGUAAACUACGAAUAUCGCUUUUCAGAACUUACCGCUAACGUGUUUUUAUGCAUUCAAAUUAAAGUUUGGUAGAUUAUUUCCCAUUUAUGUUGACUUUUUACAAAAUAUCAAACGUGUAUUACGAUUAUAUGAUUAUAUACUCAAUCUAGUUUCGUUUCGUUUCAACAAGGAACUUUGUAUUACUAAAAUUUUAGCGUUGAUUUGAGAUAUACAGCCGGAACUUGGUGAAUUUUGGAUGAAUUGAUUGAAAUUUUAUAGAAUUGCGGCUUUCAUUUGGCAAGACAUCAUGAUCUGCCCGCCAUUUUGUUUCUCGCUUUGUUGAAUAUACUCUCUAGAGACAUGAAUUUGAUUGAAGAUUCUGCGCGCCAUUCCUUAGGGAACACGGAAAACGUCGUCACUUUGAGAUGUCUCGUCCAAACGUAACUUGGAAUAUUGCUUGGAUGGCCUUACCGACUGCUCCUCGUCCUACUGAACUUUAUUUAUCAAAAGAUACAUAUCAAGACAGAGCCUAAAGUCUCGCUGAGGAUGAAGAGUUUUCGAUAUUUUGAAGGGAAGGUGAGCGCGGAAACUUUUUGUGAAACACGACUUUGUUCGUUGGCAGUUCCCGCGUAUCGGGAGCUUAGCUAUCGUUAAAUUUUCCUUAGCUGAAAAGACUCCUUUAAAGUCACAUUUUAAAAUGUAGCAACGUAGGCAAACAUUGAUUCAUUCAAACUAUUGUUAAGUCCACUAUAAAUACAGGCAUGUAAACAUAACGGUCCGGUUUUUUAUAUUUUUUUCAAUGCUUAACAUCCUAUGUGUGUUCAGACCAUUGUUUACGCCGUAUCGUGUUUGGCUGUACAAAUGUGCGCUUGUGAGAACAAUUCAAUUAUAGCUCUACCUACUUCAGAUUUUGGUAUAAAUUAAAUAUAACGGUUCCGUUAUUUAGUUUGCCAUCAAUUGGUUAGGGAAACGUGCAUGGAAUUUCAAUCGUUAUCUUUGAUCUAAACAUUGGUCGGGUGUAAAAUAGCAAAACCAACUCGGUACAUUCGAAGCAGUCUGUGUAAACCCUAAAGAUUCACGAACACCACGUAAUAGAGCAACAAGUUGUCCUAGGCAGUUGAUUUUUCUAAUAAAAAAUUAUAUGUUUUUGUACUGUGUUUUUGUACUGUGUGUAAAUUGAAUAAUUGUUUCUUGAAUAAUUUCAUAUUUCUUUCAAGUAGCAUUGACCGAGAAAAAGCUAUUAUGUUACUCUUUGAGCUGUAUAAGCGAUAAAUUAGGACAAACCAGUGCUAUAAAUAACAAAGCACCCUGUGAAAUAAAUAUCAACAACAGAUUUGGUAUGUGUUGAUGCUUAAUUUCUAGCAUUUCAGCCUCCCAUUCGUCUUGCUGGCUAGAGGGAUAGUGACUGUUACUCUUACGAUAAAUAUAAACCAUUUAACAGCACCCCUUAAAUUAUAUGAUAGCAUUGAAAUGAUCUUUAAUCCUUAUUUCAUGACUUACAACGAUGUCUCAGCUCAAACUCGAACCGCAAAAUCAAAAGCUCUGAAUUUCUGCUUUUGUAGCUGAAUCUGUGUAUUCGAUUAGGUUGAGCAAGCAACCCCUGAAUUUCAGAAGUCUGCUUCUCUUGUAGGUGUCGAGAAAAUUAACGAAUGGUUACGACCGCUACUUAAUUCUCUGAGUGUUGUGGUAUUGGGUUCAGCCACAAAAUACCCAAUCAAUUGGUAGUUGUAUGCCCUCCUGAUGCCUUUUGCAAGAAUGGAAACUUUGCUGAUGCCUUUCAACUGCGAGAUGUUAUCGAUCAGAGCUUCACGUGCUGCAUUAAUAACAAACAAUCGGGUACAUCCUGUCUAUUAAACUCAAGCUCAAUCCUUUGAUGGGAAGAUUCAAGCAGAACGAAGCAGAUGAAUGACAAGGUAUGCUAGUUGGUCCCUAAAUUUAAUUCACCGUAUGAAGGGAUGUUUUUUAACGUUUAGAUUGUGUGGAUUUAAAAGUUGAUUUCUUUCACUUAAUAAAGAUGAAAUCUUUAUCUAAAAAAUUACAUCUUUAUCAAAUUAGUUUUGAAUCUUUGUAACUCUGAAAUAGUGACUAUUUGACCAACUCUUUUUUCUUUUUUUCUAAAAAAUCAAACCGUGUCCUUUUGAUUAAACAAAGCUACUUCCAAGUUAUCAAAAGAAUCACCAAGGCUUAGAAGUAUAUUUGAAGUUUGAAGUAUAUAAAACUUGACUGUUUACCCAAAUCUAUAUCAUUGUCCUUUUGUUAAAGUUCAACUAAAACUAUAUAACAUAAAAUGAAAAUGAUAUUAGAUCUUAAAGUUUGUAUUUUCAAGCAAGCUUUAAAAAAUUAGAUUAUCGUUAAACCAGAUUUCUUCCUAUAAUGACAUGUAAAGAAUAGAUACAACAUAUUUAACCAACCACACUUAAGUAACAUAUUUAUAAGUUAAUAAGGAACAAACCUCCGAUUGAUAUUCAGUAAGAUUAAUUGUAUUCAGUGAGAUUAAGGCUUUAUGCUAAAACAUUUUAAAGGAAAUGUCCAUCCUUAAAAGUGACUUCCUUCAACCGCCAUUGCCAUAAAUUUAAGAAAAUCAGUUGUUUCUAUCUGCUUUAAAUUCCUAUAAGGUUACUGUCUUUUUAAAGAAAUUCCAUUUGAAAAAUAGUUGUGUUUUCCAUAGUCAAUUGCCUUUCCUCUUGUCAAAAAUAACCAAUUGUAGAGGAUUGCUAUUUUCAAUCAGAAAUGU